rnacentral:rRNA from 1 species
AGUGAACGCUGGCGGUAGGCCUAACACAUGCAAGUCGAACGGCAGCACAGUAAGAGCUUGCUCUUACGGGUGGCGAGUGGCGGACGGGUGAGGAAUACAUCGGAAUCUACUUUUUCGUGGGGGAUAACGUAGGGAAACUUACGCUAAUACCGCAUACGACCUACGGGUGAAAGCAGGGGAUCUUCGGACCUUGCGCGAUUGAAUGAGCCGAUGUCGGAUUAGCUAGUUGGCGGGGUAAAGGCCCACCAAGGCGACGAUCCGUAGCUGGUCUGAGAGGAUGAUCAGCCACACUGGAACUGAGACACGGUCCAGACUCCUACGGGAGGCAGCAGUGGGGAAUAUUGGACAAUGGGCGCAAGCCCGAUCCAGCCAUACCGCGUGGGUGAAGAAGGCCUUCGGGUUGUAAAGCCCUUUUGUUGGGAAAGAAAAGCAGCAGGUUAAUACCCCGCUGUCCUGACGGUACCCAAAGAAUAAGCACCGGCUAACUUCGUG